rnacentral:pre_miRNA from 1 species
GCUGGUAGCGCAAUCCGGGGUCAGGUCCCCCAUUUCUACACGGGCUGUGCAGUAGCGGCCGCUACUGCACAGCCCGUGUAGAAAUGGGGGACCUGACCCCGGAGGUGG